AAGAGAAAAGAAGGAGAGGAGGAGAGAAAAGAAAAAAAUUAUAAAGAAACAAAAAUUUUAAAAAAUUAAGGUACAGAUUUUGUGUAGAUGUCGUGAGCAAGAGAAGAAGAGAAGACAAGGAUAGGAGAAUGAUAGAAAAGAAGAAAAAAAUUGCAAAGUAAAAAAAAGGGCCUGUAUAGGUGUUGUUUUGCUGCACCAUAUGAGAAGAGAAAAGGAGAAAAAGAGAGAGGAAGGAUGAGAGAAGGACAUGCCUUAGUCCUUAGGUUGUUCUUCUUUCCCUUUUUCACGCAGCCGUAGAGUCAUGGGUUGAA
rnacentral:misc_RNA from 1 species